rnacentral:tRNA from 1 species
UUAAAGAUAAGCUAAUUCAAGCUGACGGGUUCAUACCCCGUCUAUGAGAACUCUCUCUUUAAA